CACGCAGUAAACGAUGUACACUAGGUGGUGGGAGUUACUCUCAGUACCGUAGCUAACGCAUUAAGUGUACCGCCUGGGGAGUAUGCUCGCAAGGGUGAAACUCAAAGGAAUUGACGGGGGCCCGCACAAGCGGUGGAGCAUGUGGUUUAAUUCGAUGAUACGCGAGGAACCUUACCAGGGCUUGACAUACGAUGGAAUGGUUGAGAGAUCAUCCAGCCCUUCGGGGUCGUCGUACAGGUGC
rnacentral:rRNA from 1 species